rnacentral:rRNA from 1 species
GACGAAGGGGGCUAGCGUUGUUCGGAAUUACUGGGCGUAAAGCGCGCGCAGGUGGUUUCUUAAGUCUGAUGUGAAAGCCCACGGCUCAACCGUGGAGGGUCAUUGGAAACUGGGAGACUUGAGUGCAGAAGAGGAAAGUGGAAUUCCAUGUGUAGCGGUGAAAUGCGUAGAGAUAUGGAGGAACACCAGUGGCGAAGGCGACUUUCUGGUCUGUAACUGACACUGAGGCGCGAAAGCGUGGGGAGCAAACAGG